AACUUAUGUAGCCUUGUCACCCAGACCCAGCUGCAACUUGUUAGCCUCUUACUCCUAAGAAGCCUAGUACAAGAAGAACUAGUGAGGCCAAAUGUUGGAUUGUGAACACCAUUUGGGGAGGUAUUGUGAAUAGGAUCCAUUUCUUCACCCAGACUAAACAACAAGCAGCAAAAUACAGUCAAUUGUCUGCUUUGGAUGGGAAUGUACUUCACCUGAAGGAAGAGGUUAAUAGAUGGAGUGCUCCUGGAUCCAUAUCUGUUGUUAGAGACC